rnacentral:rRNA from 1 species
AGUGAUGGCGACUUUUAUUGGGCCUAAAGCGUCCGUAGCUGGCCCUGCAAGUCCGUCGGGAAAUCCACUCGCCUAACGAGUGGGCGUCCGGCGGAAACUACAGGGCUUGGGACCGGAAGACUUGAGGGGUACGUCUGGGGUACGAGUGAAAUCCUGUACUCCUGGACGGACCGCCGAUAGCGAAAGCACCUCAAGACGACGGAUCCGACAGUGAGGGACGAAAGCUAGGGUCUCGAAC